CUGCUCCACAGCCUCUCCUUACCCACAUUGCUUUCAUGCCUGCUCAGAGCUGCAUCAUAAUGUAAUAUAAGAUAGCUUUCUACAGGUCGAUCAUGGGCCAGAGUUUUUGAGUUAUGAGAGCUGCUCCAGAGGUUUGUUUUAGCAAAACAGUCAUCACUGGCAGUACAUUUCAGUGACACAGAGUGGGUCACAAAGCUUGCUUAUUUUCAUGUGACAUAUUCAACCUACUCAGUGAAUUCAAUCUCUCACUGUGGGGGAGAAUGGCAACUGUGUUCAAGUUGGCAGAAAAGGUUUCAACAUUCAAAGUUGAACUGAAAUUACGGGAGUGAUGAAUCAAAGUCCAGAAUAUUCUCCAUCUACAGGGAAGACUUGGCUGGGGGAGGGAGAAGACAAACAGAGACAGAGCCAGGAUCAGAGAGGAGAGAAGAGAGAACAAAAGGAAUCAAAGAAAGAAAACAAAAAAUACAGAAGAUAA
rnacentral:lncRNA from 1 species